UACAGAGGGUGCGAGCGUUGUCCGGAAUCACUGGGCGUAAAGGGCGCGUAGGCGGCUUGAUAAGUAGGGGGUGAAAUCUCACAGCUCAACUGUGAGGCUGCCUCCUAAACUGUCUGGCUUGAGCACAGUAGAGGCGAGUGGAAUUCCCGGUGUAGCGGUGGAAUGCGUAGGAGAGUCGGGAAGAACAUCGGUGGCGAAGGCGGCUCGCGUGGGCUGUAGCUGACGCUGAUGCGCGAAAGC
rnacentral:rRNA from 1 species